rnacentral:misc_RNA from 1 species
AAGACUAUAGACCUGCGGAGUACCUGCGGAGGGAUCAUUAACCUUUCAAAAAACAGGGUGCGUCGCGGCCCCCCUCCGGGGGCGGUUUGGGGUCCUCCCCUUCACGCGCGCACGACUGCAUCCUUACUUUACGAGCACCUUCUGUUCUCCCUCGGCGGGGCAACCUGCCGUUGGAACCGAAUAAACCCUUUUUUGCAUCCAGCAUUACCCGUUCCGAAACAAACAAUCGUUACAACUUUC